ensembl:snRNA U6 U6 spliceosomal RNA
GUGCUCACUUUGGCAGCACAUAAACUAAAAUUGGAACGAUACAGAGAUUAGCAUGGCCCCUGUGCAAGAAUGACACACAAAUAUAUGAAGCCUAAAAAAGAAAA